UACGUAGGGGGCAAGCGUUGUCCGGAUUUAUUGGGCGUAAAGAGCGUGUAGGCGGUUCGGUAGGUCCGUUGUGAAAACUCGAGGCUCAACCUCGAGACGCCGAUGGAAACCCCCGAACUAGAGUCCGGAAGAGGAGAGUGGAAUUCCUGGUGUAGCGGUGAAAUGCGCAGAUAUCGGGAGGAACACCUGAGGCGAAGGCGGGUUACUGGGCUGAUACUGACGCUGAUGCGCGAAAGCCAGGGGAGCAAACGGG
rnacentral:rRNA from 1 species